rnacentral:rRNA from 1 species
UACGAACUGUGCAAACGUUAUUCGGAAUCACUGGGCUUAAAGGGUGCGUAGGCGGCUAUCUAAGCAGGGUGUGAAAGCCCCCGGCUCAACCGGGGAAUAGCGUUCUGAACUGGAUGGCUGGAGUGAGAUAGGGGUGUGUGGAACUUCCGGUGGAGCGGUGAAAUGUGUUGAUAUCGGAAGGAACGCCGGUGGCGAAAGCGACACACUGGGUCUCAACUGACGCUGAUGCGCGAAAGCUAGGGGAGCAAACAGG